rnacentral:rRNA from 1 species
GAACUGCGAUAAGUAAUGUGAAUUGCAGAAUUCAGUGAAUCAUCGAGUCUUUGAACGCACAUUGCGCCCCCUGGCAUUCCGGGGGGCAUGCCUGUCCGAGCGUCAUUG